AGAAAAGACAAAUUCCUAAUACAAGAAAUUGUAUAUGGCCAAUAAAGUGAUCUGAAUAUUACUGCUGUUUAAUUUAAAGAUGAUUCUUUUUCAGUAAUAAUUAAGGAUGAUAGACAGAGCAAUGAUGGAGUUAAAGCCGGCAGCCUAAUGAAGAAGAGAAAGAGAAGACAACAAGUUGAUCCUGAGGUUGGCCAGAUAUAUCAUGGUACAGCUGUGGAGAAGACACACAGACAGACACUGAGAGUGACACAGUGUAACACACACAUGAGCACAAACAGACACUGGGAGAUACUGACAGACAGAAACACAAGCUCGUAGAAACACACACACACAGCUGCAGUGAUGGAGUUGUUCGUGUGCAGGAUGUUUCAGUGGUGGGGAACAGCAAGCCUGUAUUUGGCCUGACUAAUUUUGCUGUGCAUGUGCGCUCAUUGUCUCAUUAGCACUGAGUUCUACCUGUUUUCUUGCCUAAAUGUUAACUGUAACAUAAGAACUGUUGGCAAAUCUGCCUGGGGUUUCUGUC
rnacentral:lncRNA from 1 species